rnacentral:snRNA from 1 species
UGCUAAAACAAUAUUCGAGAAG